CUAGAUUGCGGGUAAAUCGGU
rnacentral:siRNA from 1 species